UCCACACAUCCCCAUGAAACGGACGUGAAGCUGAAGGAGCUCCUCUUUUCUCCAGUAUCUUCUAGAUCUUGACUGAGAUGGCGACAGAUGAGGAGGUCCUCUUACGAACUUUCGAAAAACUGAGUGCCGAGGACUUUGAAACAUUAAAGUGGUUGCUGGGCAAAGAGGGCAGCCUAAAGGACCUCCCAGCAAUCCCAGCAAGUCAACUGGAGAACGCUAAAAGGAGGGACACAGUGGAUCUGAUAGUGCACACCUACAUUCCAGACCAUAUUAAAGUGGCCAAAAACGUUUUAAUAAAGAUAAACAGGAAUGAUUUAGUGAAGAAUUUAUCAAUCAUCACAUCAGGACCUAUAGAGAAUAUUGCUGAGUGUCAAGUGAUUUGUAAACUCAAAUCCAAUCUGAAGAAGAAAUUUCAGUGUGUG